rnacentral:rRNA from 1 species
UACGGGGGGGGCAAGCGUUGUUCGGAUUUAUUGGGUUUAAAGGGUGCGUAGGCGGCUAAUUAAGUCAGCGGUGAAAUUCCACAGCUCAACUGUGGAACUGCCAUUGAUACUGGUUGGCUUGAGUACAGAUGAGGUAGGCGGAAUUGACAGUGUAGCGGUGAAAUGCUUAGAUAUUGUCAAGAACACCUAUUGCGAAGGCAGCUUACUAAACUGUAACUGACGCUGAGGCACGAAAGCGUGGGGAUCAAACAGG